UGCCAAAGAGAGAAACAGAAGGCAUCACAUAUCAAGAGUCAUGUAGCAUCUCCAGAAAUCCAGUAUGUUUUCAAGAUGUCCGUCUCCUGAGUACUGAGGUUCUGUCUAUUGAAACCCCAAUAUGGUCACCAUUUACCAAUGGAAGCAUGUGGAAAGCAGUUGUGGUGCUUCAAACAAUUAGAAAUUGUCCUCCAGAGACUGGAUAUGCAAGUUGUCUAGAAGUUUGGGAAUAUUAGCAACAUCAAAGCAGGAGGUUCAGUUUUUUCCUACUAUCCUGGUACCAUACAAUCCCAAAGCGUUUACAAAUCUCU